UAUUGAAAAUAACUUUUUUAAGUUCCGGCCUAUUUUAAAUAUAUACCUACUAGAGUUAAAUUCUGUUAAUAAACUAUUAGCAAUAACUGUUAUCUAUAUGAAAUUACUAUUUUUUUCUUUUAAAUAUACCUUUCUACCAUAAACGACUUUUCUUAUUUGCCCUUAAGUUUAGAGACACAAAAAAAUUUGAUUUUUGGGCUUUUCAAGUAUACUCUUCUAUCAUCACCAAUAUUUUUUAUUUGCCCUUAAGUUAAGAGCAAACGAGGCAUUUUGAUUUUUUUUUAACUCUAGUAGAUAUUUUAUUCAUGUUUAACCCAAAUUAAUUUAACGGGUGGUAACUGCUGAGGUAUUUUGGAAUAACGAAUGAACAUAUGAGGGCUAUAUUGGAAAGAAAAAAAAAGGUAGGGGCAAAUAAAAUAUUUCUGAAGUUUUGAGGGAUAUAUAGGUAAUUAUCCCUAAAAAUAUAAAGCUUUA
rnacentral:lncRNA from 1 species